rnacentral:rRNA from 1 species
GACGUAGGGCGCAAGCGUUGUCCGGAUUUAUUGGGCGUAAAGAGCUCGUAGGCGGUUCAUUGCGUCAAUCGUGAAAUCCUGUGGCUCAACUACAGGCUUGCGGUUGAUACGGGUGGGCUGGAGUUCGGUAGGGGAGACUGGAAUUCCUGGUGUAGCGGUGAAAUGCGCAGAUAUCAGGAGGAACACCGGUGGCGAAGGCGGCAUCCUGGACUGGUCCUGACACUCAUGAGCGAAAGCGUGGGGAGCGAUCCGG